GACACGUUCUGCUUACUAUGUAGCAGAUUGGAGUUGGACACUCAAUAUGUAUCUAACUCCACAAAGUUAUAGACUGUCUAAUGGGUGCUUUCUGAUAAAUCACAGCCUGAGGCAUUCCUGGGCAUUUUAAAUCUAUCGGGGACCCAUCCACAGCUCACCAGGAACUUAGAGCACUGACAGAUCUUCGGAUCUGCUUGACAAAACCCAGAAAGCGGUCCAUCUCUUGCUCACUGUGCAGCCCUGCUCAGCCAGCACCAGAGUGCAGAGACAACCCAGCUGCUUGGGAAGCCGGUGGAGCAUGAAUGACC